GGGGUUGUGGCUCAGUGGUAGAGCACCUGCCUCAAAUGCAUGGGGCACUGUAUUCGAUCCUCAGCACCA
rnacentral:tRNA from 1 species